rnacentral:tRNA from 1 species
UGGCUCAGUCGGUAGAGCAUAAGACUGUUGAUCUAGGGGCUGUGAGUUCAAGCCCCAC